AUGAGGACGGCCCUUGUCUUUUGUUCCUUCUACUCCAGACUACGACUUGCUACUACUUCAGAACGGCUAAUUUCGUGUAAGAAUGCAGUCGCGAUGUAUCACCGUAAGGAACUUAUGGAUGUAUAUAUCACCGUAAGGAACUUAUGGAUGUAUAUAGUUUGGAUAAUAAAACAGCUUGGCUUGGCCGUGAUCCACCGUUGUUUUCAGGUGUGUUUUACAGCUUCAGGAGAUGGCAGUGUGCCUGGUAAUUUUGGUUGUGUUACUUGUUGUUAUCAAUGCUGCUUCACUGCCUCUGUGUACGCUAUGAAUUCCCUAAGUGUGGCACUCAGUACUCACUGCCUCCAUUUAGCAUUGUGA
rnacentral:rRNA from 1 species